GAUGAACGCUGGCGGCGUGCCUAAUACAUGCAAGUCGAGCGAACAGACGAGGAGCUUGCUCCUUCGACGUUAGCGGCGGACGGGUGAGUAACACGUAGGUAACCUACCUAUAAGACUGGGAUAACUUCGGGAAACCGGAGCUAAUACCGGAUAAUAUUUCGAACCGCAUGGUUCGAUAGUGAAAGAUGGCUUUGCUAUCACUUAUAGAUGGACCUGCGCGGUAUUAGCUAGUUGGUAAGGUAACGGCUUACCAAGGCAACGAUGCGUAGCCGACCUGAGAGGGUGAUCGGCCACACUGGAACUGAGACACGGUCCAGACUCCUACGGGAGGCAGCAGUAGGGAAUCUUCCGCAAUGGGCGAAAGCCUGACGGAGCAACGCCGCGUGAGUGAUGAAGGUCUUCGGAUCGUAAAACUCUGUUAUUAGGGAAGAACAAACGUGUAAGUAACUGUGCACGUCUUGACGGUACCUAAUCAGAAAGCCACGGCUAACUACGUG
rnacentral:rRNA from 1 species